AGCAGAGAUUUGGUUCUACACAUUGCCUCAGAAAAAAGCCCUGAGAGAAAUGUCACCUAAAUACUAGAGAAACAUACAUGAAAACAAGAUUGAGGAAGCCCAUUUACAUGCUGAGUAUGAGAUUGGCUGUUUCUGCUUCAGGAUUGAUGGAGGCUUCAGAAAAAUGUGUGUGGAUUUUUAAACUAGGUUUUACUGAGUGACCUGACUCCCACGGAAAAGAAGCAUUUCCACAUAUCCAAAGCUGUCAGGUAUGUAGGUCACAGUCAAUUUAGUUAACUUGCUAAGUAGUUCAAAUGAUAAUUUAAUUUUGGUGUAGGGUGGUGUGUUUUCUUUUUUCCAUUCAGG
rnacentral:lncRNA from 1 species